rnacentral:rRNA from 1 species
UACGGGGGGGGCAAGCGUUGUUCGGAAUUACUGGGCGUAAAGGGCUCGUAGGUGGCCAACUAAGUCAGACGUGAAAUCCCCAGGCUCAACUUGGGAACUGCGUCUGAUACUGGAUGGCUUGAAUUCGGGAGAGGGAUGCAGAAUUCCAGGUGUAGCGGUGAAAUGCGUAGAUAUCUGGAGGAAUACCGGUGGCGAAGGCGGCAUCCUGGACCGAAACUGACGCUGAGGCGCGAAAGCUAGGGGAGCAAACGGG